rnacentral:tRNA from 13 species
CGCGGGGUGGAGCAGUCUGGUAGCUCGUCGGGCUCAUAACCCGAAGGUCACAGGUUCAAAUCCUGUCCCCGCUACCA